rnacentral:rRNA from 1 species
CCUACGGGAGGCAGCAGUGGGGAAUAUUGCACAAUGGGGGAAACCCUGAUGCAGCGACGCCGCGUGAGUGAAGAAGUAUCUCGGUACGUAAAGCUCUAUCAGUAGGGAAGAAAAUGACGGUACCUGACUAAGAAGCCCCGGCCAAUUACGUUACAGCAGCCGCGGUAAUACGGAGGGGGCAAGCGUUAUCCGGAUUGACUGGGUGUAAAGGGAGCGUAGACGGCAGCACAAGUCUGGAGUGAAAUCCCGGGGCUUAAUCCCGGAACUGCUUUGGAAACUGUGCGGCUGGAGUUCAGGAGGGGUAAGCGGAAGUCCUGGUGUAGCGGUGAAAUGCGUAGAUAUUAGGAGGAACACCGGUGGCGAAGGCGGCUUACUGGACUGUAACUGACGUUGAGGCUCGAAAGCGUGGGGAGCAAACAGGAUUAGAUACCCUUGUAGUC